rnacentral:rRNA from 1 species
GAUGAACGCUGGCGGCGUGCUUAACACAUGCAAGUCGAACGGUGAAAGAGAGCUUGCUCUCUGGAUCAGUGGCGAACGGGUGAGUAACACGUGAGCAAUCUGCCCUUGACUCUGGGAUAAGCGCUGGAAACGGCGUCUAAUACCGGAUACGAGCUGCGAAGGCAUCUUCAGCAGCUGGAAAGAACUUCGGUCAAGGAUGAGCUCGCGGCCUAUCAGCUAGUUGGUGAGGUAACGGCUCACCAAGGCGUCGACGGGUAGCCGGCCUGAGAGGGUGACCGGCCACACUGGGACUGAGACACGGCCCAGACUCCGACGGGAGGCAGCAGUGGGGAAUAUUGCACAAUGGGCGCAAGCCUGAUGCAGCAACGCCGCGUGAGGGACGACGGCCCUCGGGUUGUAAACCUCUUUUAGCAGGGAAGAAGCGAAAGUGACGGUACCUGCAGACGAAGCACCGGCCAACUACGUGCCAGCCGCCGCCGUAAGAC